rnacentral:rRNA from 1 species
AACGAACGCUGGCGGCAUGCCUAACACAUGCAAGUCGAACGGGAUCCUAGCUUGCUAGGUGAGAGUGGCGGACGGGUGAGUAACACGUGGGAAUCUGCCUUUUGGUUCGGGAUAACUGCGGGAAACUGCAGCUAAUACCGCAUGAGCCCGAGAGGGGAAAGAUUUAUCGCCAUUGGAGGGGCCCGCGUUCGAUUAGGUAGUUGGUGAGGUAACGGCUCACCAAGCCGACGAUCGAUAGCUGGUCUGAGAGGAUGAUCAGCCACACUGGGACUGAGAUACGGCCCAGACUCCUACGGGAGGCAGCAGUGGGGGAAUAUUGGACAAUGGGGGCAACCCUGAUCCAGCAAUGCCGCGUGAGUGAUGAAGGCCUUCGGGUUGUAAAGGCUCUUUUGUCCGGGGACGAUGAUGACGGUACCCGGAGAAUAAG